UAGGGAAUCUUCGGCAAUGGGGGCAACCCUGACCGAGCAACGCCGCGUGAGUGAAGAAGGUUUUCGGAUCGUAAAGCUCUGUUGUAAGUCAAGAACGGGUGUGAGAGUGGAAAGUUCACACUGUGACGGUAGCUUACCAGAAAGGGACGGCUAACUACGUGCCAGCAGCCGCGGUAAUACGUAGGUCCCGAGCGUUGUCCGGAUUUAUUGGGCGUAAAGCGAGCGCAGGCGGUUUGAUAAGUCUGAAGUUAAAGGCUGUGGCUCAACCAUAGUUCGCUUUGGAAACUGUCAAACUUGAGUGCAGAAGGGGAGAGUGGAAUUCCAUGUGUAGCGGUGAAAUGCGUAGAUAUAUGGAGGAACACCGGUGGCGAAAGCGGCUCUCUGGUCUGUAACUGACGCUGAGGCUCGAAAGCGUGGGGAGCGAACAGGAUUAGAUACCCUGGUAGUCCACGCCGUAAACGAUGAGUGCUAGGUGUUGGAUCCUUUCCGGGGAUUCAGUGCC
rnacentral:rRNA from 1 species